GUUGUUUCUCAUUUAUCAAAUUUCAUUUUAGUUCAAUUAUUUCUGUCAAAGAAAAUUUAAUUUUAUUAUGAAAUGUUAAUUCACACAAAAAUGGUAGAUAUAUACAAUAUGUAGUAUGAUUAUGUGUCAUAUUAAGGCCAGUGAAUAAUAUUUGACUAAAUAGGCUUACAUUUUUAUGUAUUUUUUAAAAUGAAUUAGGAAGCACAAUAUAAGAAUUUAAGGUUAUUCCUCUCCUGUCUGCAAAGUGUGAAAAUUACCAUUCAACAGCAGUUUGCAUAUCGAAUAAGCUUUUCAUACAAAGGCAAUUUUAGCAUAUCAUCCCUAUUUCACAGAAAAGCAUUAUUUUUAAUGGGCAUUCUCACAAAUGGUGUAAUAUAAAUAUUAUGAAUUUUAUUCUUGAAAAUAUCAUCAUUGAUUAAGAUUAGAUUGUGAUACCCUCGGAUGAAAUGCAAACCAAUGAACUACAGAGCCUUUCAAUAGUCAAUGACAAAAGUUAAAUGGUUUUUAACAAUUUUUGUUAUCUAUGAGAGAUAAAUCUACAGUUAAUUUUACAAAAAUAAUAUGCAUUAAACUUCAUUCUAAAAUUAACGAUAAGAAAGAAAGAUACCAUCAGAUAUCUGAGAUUUAAGAUUGGAUUUAAAUGUAGAAUAUUGAUUGCAUUUCAAAUUGUAAAUUUAUAAAUACUGCAUUCCUGAACUUGCAUGCUUUUUGUCUUGGAAUUAUAAAUUAACACAUGUAGUGUCGAUUGUUUAUCUAUCAUAUUUUUUUGGUGAUGUACAUAAAUUUAAUGCUGUUUUUUUUUAAGUUUGAGGUUUUUUUUAACAUUUUGCAUGUUGGACCUAUUAUAGCUUACUAUUCAGUAUAGGUUUUGAACAUUGUUGAAGCCUGAACAUUGACCCUGUUGAUAAUGAAAGUUUUUAACGACCAUAACUGGGUAAACAGCCCUCGCUCUGUGACCCUAUUAAUUGCUUAAAUUUACUUUUAUAUGUUUUCUAGUAGAGAGAUGUCUCAUUUGCACUUAUACCUAAUCUUCUUACUUUUAUACAUUUUAAAAAGUGAAUCUAUACUAAUGACAUAUGUGAGCUUAUAUAGAGAAAGAAACCACUCAAAUCUGUCUCUUUCCUACAAUUUUCAUGUUGUGGUGGAACAAUUUUGUUUCACAUAAAUUGGCAUAAGCUGUUUAAAAAAAUCCACUGUAAUUUAUAUUAUUUCAAAUUUCAGCAUAUUUUCGGUUUAGCAAAGUACGUAAGAACCAGUAAGAGUGGAUAGACGAAGUAAAUAACUUUUUCUGAACUAUAAAUACAUAUGCAUAAGCUAUGGUAACAAAAAAAGUUACCCAACUGUUCAAUAUUUUUUUUUGCAGUAAUUAUGUAUUUGUGAAGCAAUUUUAAAACAUUUUUUUGUAAAACGGUUAAACAAGUUACAGCUUUGUUAAUAUGCAAGUGAAGUUGAUAUCAUAAAAAAAAAAACUCUUUUUGUCGAGCCUUCGACUUUAGUCGAAAAAGCAAGACUAAGCGAUCCUACAUUCUGUCAGUGUCGGUGUCCUGGGCAGCGUCCAAAUUUAUUCACUCUGUGGUUAAAGUUUUUAAAAUCUUAAUAACUUUCUUAUACUAUCCUGGGUUUGUCACAAACUUGGACAGAAGCUUGUUUAUGAUCAUAAGAUAGUAUCCAGAAGUAAAUUUUGUAAAAAAAUAAAUCCUUUUUUUCCGUAUUAUAAUUUUAAAUGGACUUAGAUUUUCUUCCAGUUAACAUUACAUACAUACAGUCUGCAGUUAAAGUUUUUAAAACAUUUAUUAAAAAACUAUCCUGGAUUUUUACCAAACUUGGACAGAAGCUUCUUACAAUCAAAAGAUAGUAUCAAGAGGAAUAUUUUUAUUGAUUUUUUUCCUCAUUUUUGUUGUGCCUGCGAUUUACAGCAAAAGUAGACAAGACACUGGGUUCCGUGGAACCCUUAUUAAUUUUAUUAUUAUUAUGGACCAUUUAUGGGCAUUAUUUUUUCUGGUCUGUGCAACCGUUCGUUCCCCCUUCAGGUUAAAGUUUUUGGUCGAGGUAGGUUUGAUGAAGUUGAAGUCCAAUCAACUUGAAACUUGGUAUACAUGUUCACACUGAUAUGAUCUUUCUAAUUUUAAUGCCAAAUUAGAGUUUUUACCCCAUUUUCACGGUCAACUGAACAUAAAAAAAUAUAAUGCGGAUGGGGCAUCCGUGUACUUGGGACCCAUUCUGUUUUAACAUGUAACAACCUUUUUUAUUUAAAAAUAGCAUGCAUUUGGUUCAAUUAUGACAAAUUUUAGUUUGUGUAUUGAUUUCUGCCUUUUAAAAUGAUCACAUCACAUUAUUUUGAAGUUAUUUCAAUUCAAUGUUUAAUAUAUCAAGUCAUCAAGGACAAAUUCAUAAAAAUCUAUAUAUAAUAUUGCUUUUUGGAAGGAUGGUUUAGGUUCGUUUUUUAUUUUCCAAGAUAUUUUAUGAACCAGUAGAAGUUAUAUGAAUAUUCUAUUGUCAUUAUUGGUUUUAAUAGUUUGUUUUUUAAGAAAUGUAAAGUUUAGAAUAGUGUAAGAUAAGUAGUGCUGUAGUUUUUAUUUUUAAAGUAUAUAAUUUAUCAAUUUACAUUAGUGGACUAUUAAGUUUUUAGUAUAUAUAAUGUGUUUUUAU
rnacentral:lncRNA from 1 species